rnacentral:tRNA from 1 species
GCAUCCAUGGCUGAAUGGUUAAAGCGCCCAACUCAUAAUUGGUAAAUUUGCGGGUUCAA